ACCAGGAUGGCUGAGUGGUUAAGGUGUUGGACUUAAGAUCCAAUGGAUGUGUGUCUGUAUGGGUUUGAACCCCACUCCUGGUA